rnacentral:rRNA from 1 species
ACGUCUACGAGUUUGAUCCUGGCUCAGAACGAACGCUGGCGGCAGGCUUAACACAUGCAAGUCGAACGCCCCGCAAGGGGAGUGGCAGACGGGUGAGUAACACGUGGGAACAUGCCCAAAGGUACGGAAUAUUCUCGGGAAACUGGGAGCAAUACCGUAUGUGCCCGAAAGGGGAAAGAUUUAUCGCCUUUGGAUUGGCCCGCGUUGGAUUAGCUAGUUGGUGGGGUAAAAGCCUACCAAGGCGACGAUCCAUAGCUGGUCUGAGAGGACGACCAGCCACACUGGGACUGAGACACGGCCCAGACUCCUACGGGAGGCAGCAGUGGGGAAUCUUGGACAAUGGGCGCAAGCCUGAUCCAGCCAUGCCGCGUGAGUGAUGAAGGCCUUAGGGUUGUAAAGUCCUUUCAGAUGGGAAGAUAAUGACGGUACCAUCAGAAGAAGCCCCGGCUAACUCCGUG